UACGGAGGGGGCUAGCGCUGUUCGGAAUUACUGGGCGUAAAGCGCGCGUAGGCGGGCUGUUAAGUCGGGGGUGAAAUCCCGGGGCCCAACCCCGGAACUGCCUUCGAUACUGGCAGCCUAGAGGAAGGCAGAGGCUAGUGGAAUGGCGAGUGUAGAGGUGAAAUUCGUAGAUAUUCGCCGGAACACCAGUGGCGACGGCGACUGGCUGGGCCUUUUCUGACUCUGAGGUGCGAAAGCGUGGGGAGCAAACAGG
rnacentral:rRNA from 1 species